ACAAUAGUUGAUGUUGAGGAUGUUGCACGAAUAAUGUGUUUAUUUGUUGUGGCAACUUUGUUAUUCCCAACAACCGGUCUAACAGUUGGAUGGGCUUUUGUCGCCCUUGUAGAAGAUUUGGGAAUAAUGAAUUCAUAUGCAUGGUCGACUGCAGUUGCAUCCACAUUGACUACUUCAAUCCAGGCUUCAUUAGGAAGUCUUGAAAAUGUAACUGGAUGUGUACUUGUUUUGGUAAGUAAAUUGAACUACUUGAAAUAUUACGCAAUCUAUCUUUAGAGAAUUACUAAUUUCAGUUUUUUAUUUUACAGUACUGGUUAUGCGAGCACACUACCCUCAUUCAACCUAAAGGCAAAAAUUUGUGUCCAAGGCUCCUUCGAUAGGAAGUAUCAAAGUUGAGGAAAAAGCUGAUAAUGAGGUCAUUGCAAAAACUAAAGCUUGAAGAGGUGAAUCACAAUUAAUUGAACCCCAUUUCCAAAGAAGAAAUGAAUCUCAUUUGUAAUCAUGAGGAAGAAGAUGCAAUGGACAUAGAGGAAAAUUUGGAGACUGAAGAAGAUGAAGAUUAUGUAGCUGAAGCUAUAGGAGAUGAUCAACUUUGUAGGACUUCAUUGAUCUUGGGACAUUAGAACGACUUCAAAAAGAAAACAAGAGGCUGAAAGGUAAGAAUAUGGCAUCGGUUGAAGAACUAAAGAAAAUAAGGCAAACAAUGCAAAAAAUACAGGAGGAUCAAGAGGCGAAAACAAAAGAAAUGAUGGAAAAGAUGAGCAACACAGAGAAAGAAAUGGAGAAACUACGAAAGGAGUUUGAAGUACUCAAAUUUAAAAAUAAAGAGUUUGUUGGACAGAUUGAUAAAAAUGUAGUUCAUGCGGUUACCCAAGCUUUUGCUUCUAAAGAAAUGCCAUAUGCUAAAGGAGUACAACAAGAGCAAAACUUUGGGAUUCAGGCUACAUUGAAAGAAACACCUCUAGUCAUAGAGCCAUUGCAAACAUCUAUGGUUAAGAAAAUCAAAAUGAAGGCAAGGAAGAAAAAAGAGAUGUUUGAUUUUGAAUGUGAGACAAGAGAGGUAGAGAAAAAAAAAGAAAAGAAAAAAGACCACAAAACAAGCAAUUGAAGUUAUAUCAAAAGGAGUGAUUUGUGUUAACAACUUACCUCUAAUCCAACUAAAACUAGUUGAAAGGUUUUGUAUCUGGAUAAGGCUGCAAUAUGCAAAUUGCUUGUUAAGAAUGAUAAGCGUCUACUGAGCAAAAUUUACAAUUUGGAAAUCACAGAGAAAUGGCGUAUAUGUUACAUUACAUGAUGUGGAUGCAAUUGUAAGAGAUGGUGAUACUGCAAAUAAUGUCAUUGACAGUCUUGUAGAAAUUAUUCAGAUUGAGCAACAAGCAAAGAAGCCAGAAAAGAAUAAGCCAUUCUUUUUCUCAAGCCUUUGUUGGUUAGUAGUGAAACGGGGUUAUGGAGAUUUGAGAAAUCAUUUAAUUGAAGAAGUGCUUGAGCAAGAUUUGAGUGGAUAUAGAUUCCUUCACUUUUGCAUGAACUCCAAUGGGAACAAGAAGGAAGAGAAACCCUAUAACUGGACGUUGCUUGUAUUGGACACUGAAUAUGAUGAGUGGGGGCAUUACAAUUCUUUAAGGCCAAUAGACAACAAAGAAGAUCCUUACCUUAAGGAUGCAAAACAGAUUGUAAGUGCUUUGCAUCAUAUUAACAUUAAAUUUUUGUUGUGUUUUAUUCUUGUAUUUAAUCGCGACCAAACAAUUAUGCAAUGAUGUUAGAUAACAUAUGUGGAUAACAAGUUGAGCAACAAAAGAAAGAGAGGUACAAGAAAGUUUGCAAACUUAGUUUCGGUGAAAGAUAGUCUACAACAAUGCCCAACAUCAUAAGUAUUUCACGUUACUACUACAUGCUUGAAUUGGUAGUUUUCAAAUUUGAGUAAA